rnacentral:lncRNA from 1 species
GUUUUAUAGCAAAGGUUCAAGGGUGGGGUUGCUGAGGAGAAUUGGGGUGUAUGCAGGGCUUGCACCCCUUUAAUCUGGCCUCAGAUGGCCUCCUGAUGAGCUUCUCUGGUUCUCAGGGUUAUCAAGCUGCGACCUUCUCUCUGGAGUGAAGAGUGCUCCAUCAAGCAGUUGACAUCUUCCAGUUGUUGGGGCUUUCACUCAGCAGCUCAAAGACAUUGUCAUCUGUGUCUCUUGAGCGGAACCAGGGCCCUGCUCUCGGGCUGCACUGCUGCUUUCUGAGUAUCCCCCGCCUUGCCUCCACACCCGUCCUCUUCCCUUGUCAGCAACUGUGCCAACCUGCCUCUGGAAUGAAAGGGAAGUCGAGAAGCGGGGGACUUGGAACGCUUUCGUGGCCAAGGGACCCAGGGGUCCUGCCCAGUUUCGGUGUUAACGCUCUUGCACAUUGCAUGGUUUUAGAAAAGAUGGAAAACAGUUAGGAGAAAACCUCCAAUGAGAAGACAGAAGGCUCAGAAAACUGAAGAAAACUUAUUUUGGUAAGGCAAAUAUUUCCAU